GAUUAAGUUAUUAAGGGCGCACGGUGGAUGCCUUGGCACUAGAAGCCGACGAAGGACGUUACUAACGACGAUAUGCUUUGGGUAGCUGUAAGUAAGCGUUGAUCCAGAGAUUUCCGAAUGGGGGAACCCAGCACGAGUUAUGUCGUGUUAUCGACAAGUGAAUUCAUAGCUUGUCAGAAGGCAGACCCGGAGAACUGAAACAUCUUAGUACCCGGAGGAAGAGAAAGAAAAAUCGAUUCCCUGAGUAGCGGCGAGCGAAACGGGAAGAGCCCAAACCAAUAAGCUUGCUUAUUGGGGUUGUAGGACACUCUAUACGGAGUUACAAAGGAAUAUAUUAGACGAAUCAUCUGGAAAGUUGAAUCAAAGAAGGUAAUAAUCCUGUAGUUGAAAAUAUAUUCUCUCUUGAGUGGAUCCUGAGUACGACGGAGCACGUGAAAUUCCGUCGGAAUCUGGGAGGACCAUCUCCUAAGGCUAAAUACUCUCUAGUGACCGAUAGUGAACCAGUACCGUGAGGGAAAGGUGAAAAGUACCCCGGAAGGGGAGUGAAAGAGAACUUGAAACCGUGUGCUUACAAGUAGUCAGAGCCCGUUAAUGGGUGAUGGCGUGCCUUUUGUAGAAUGAACCGGCGAGUUACGAUCUGAUGCAAGGUUAAGCAGGAGAUGUGGAGCCGUAGCGAAAGCGAGUCUGAAUAGGGCGUUGAGUAUUUGGUCGUAGACCCGAAACCAGGUGAUCUACCCAUGGUCAGGUUGAAGUUCAGGUAACACUGAAUGGAGGACCGAACCGACUUACGUUGAAAAGUGAGCGGAUGAACUGUGGGUAGCGGAGAAAUUCCAAUCGAACUUGGAGAUAGCUGGUUCUCUCCGAAAUAGCUUUAGGGCUAGCCUCAAGUGAUGAUUAUUGGAGGUAGAGCACUGUUUGGACGAGGGGCCCCUCUCGGGUUACCGAAUUCAGACAAACUCCGAAUGCCAAUUAAUUUAACUUGGGAGUCAGAACAUGGGUGAUAAGGUCCGUGUUCGAAAGGGAAACAGCCCAGACCACCAGCUAAGGUCCCAAAAUAUAUGUUAAGUGGAAAAGGAUGUGGCGUUGCCCAGACAACUAGGAUGUUGGCUUAGAAGCAGCCAUCAUUUAAAGAGUGCGUAAUAGCUCACUAGUCGAGUGACACUGCGCCGAAAAUGUACCGGGGCUAAACAUAUUACCGAAGCUGUGGAUUGUCCGUAGGACAAUGGUAGGAGAGCGUUCUAAGGGCGUUGAAGCAUGAUCGCAAGGACAUGUGGAGCGCUUAGAAGUGAGAAUGCCGGUGUGAGUAGCGAAAGACGGGUGAGAAUCCCGUCCACCGAUUGACUAAGGUUUCCAGAGGAAGGCUCGUCCGCUCUGGGUUAGUCGGGUCCUAAGCUGAGGCCGACAGGCGUAGGCGAUGGAUAACAGGUUGAUAUUCCUGUACCACCUAGCAUCGUUUUAAUCGAUGGGGGGACGCAGUAGGAUAGGCGAAGCGUACGAUUGGAUUGUACGUCGNNNNNNNNNNNNNNNNNNNNNNNNNNNNNNNNNNNNNNNNNNNNNNNNNNNNNNNNNNNNNNNNNNNNNNNNNNNNNNNNNNNNNNNNNNNNNNNNNUAGUUAGCUUCUGCGAAGCUACGAAUCGAAGCCCCAGUAAACGGCGGCCGUAACUAUAACGGUCCUAAGGUAGCGAAAUUCCUUGUCGGGUAAGUUCCGACCCGCACGAAAGGCGUAACGAUUUGGGCACUGUCUCAACGAGAGACUCGGUGAAAUCAUAGUACCUGUGAAGAUGCAGGUUACCCGCGACAGGACGGAAAGACCCCGUGGAGCUUUACUGUAGCCUGAUAUUGAAAUUCGGCACAGCUUGUACAGGAUAGGUAGGAGCCUUUGAAACGUGAGCGCUAGCUUACGUGGAGGCGCUGGUGGGAUACUACCCUAGCUGUGUUGGCUUUCUAACCCGCACCACUUAUCGUGGUGGGAGACAGUGUCAGGCGGGCAGUUUGACUGGGGCGGUCGCCUCCUAAAAGGUAACGGAGGCGCUCAAAGGUUCCCUCAGAAUGGUUGGAAAUCAUUCAUAGAGUGUAAAGGCAUAAGGGAGCUUGACUGCGAGACCUACAAGUCGAGCAGGGUCGAAAGACGGACUUAGUGAUCCGGUGGUUCCGCAUGGAAGGGCCAUCGCUCAACGGAUAAAAGCUACCCCGGGGAUAACAGGCUUAUCUCCCCCAAGAGUUCACAUCGACGGGGAGGUUUGGCACCUCGAUGUCGGCUCAUCGCAUCCUGGGGCUGUAGUCGGUCCCAAGGGUUGGGCUGUUCGCCCAUUAAAGCGGUACGCGAGCUGGGUUCAGAACGUCGUGAGACAGUUCGGUCCCUAUCCGUCGUGGGCGUAGGAAAUUUGAGAGGAGCUGUCCUUAGUACGAGAGGACCGGGAUGGACAUACCUCUGGUGUACCAGUUGUCGUGCCAACGGCAUAGCUGGGUAGCUAUGUAUGGACGGGAUAAGUGCUGAAAGCAUCUAAGCAUGAAGCCCCCCUCAAGAUGAGAUUUCCCAACUUCGGUUAUAAGAUCCCUCAAAGAUGAUGAGGUUAAUAGGUUCGAGGUGGAAGCGUGGUGACACGUGGAGCUGACGAAUACUAAUCGAUCGAAGACUUAAUCAA
rnacentral:rRNA from 1 species